GAGUUUGAUCGUGGCUCAGGACGAACGCUGGCGGCGUGCCUAAUACAUGCAAGUCGAGCGAGGGUUUUUAAGACCCUAGCGGCGGACGGGUGAGUAACACGUAGGCAACCUGCCUCUCAGACCGGGAUAACAUAGGGAAACUUAUGCUAAUACCGGAUAGGUUUUUGGAUUGCAUGAUCCGAAAAGAAAAGAUGGCUUUUUGCUAUCACUGGGAGAUGGGCCUGCGGCGCAUUAGCUAGUUGGUGGGUAACGGCCUACCAAGGCGACGAUGCGUAGCCGACCUGAGAGGGUGACCGGCCACACUGGGGCUGAGACACGGCCAGACUCCUACGGGAGGCAGCAGUAGGG
rnacentral:rRNA from 1 species